rnacentral:misc_RNA from 1 species
UAUAUCCUGUCAUGCUCUUUCUCAUGUGACUGUUUCAACACCAUACAACCUCAGUGAUUGAAGUUUCAAAGUUGGAAAAAUGGAUUGUAAAGAGGCAACAUCUGAUGCUAAUGGUGAAAAAUACACUACCUGUACUGUCCAACAGCCCGGUGAAGUUAUUCGCCCAGUGGUCUCCAAGGGAAUGGUUGAAGACAUUAUCCACAAAAUGUAUGGGCUUACAGUCACAGAAGUAAAAGAACUUGAUAGUUAUGAUGAUAGGAACUACUUCGUGAGAGUUGAGGAACAGCAUUCUAAUCCAUUCAUUCAAGAACUUCACCCAGAGGGUUACCUCCUAAAAGUAAUUAACAGCAAAGACUCCAUGAAUUCUCAAGGCCUUGAAGCACAACAUGCAUUCAUGAACUGUCUGUUAAAGAAUGGCAUUCAAACCCAGAUGAUAGUACUGAAUAUAAACAGAGAGGAACAGUCAUUGGAAAUCACUUCUCAUACAGAUGAACAAGGUGAACUCCGGAAACAUCUGGUUGAUCUUCGUACAUUUGUACCUGGGCAAAUAAUACAGAACGUCCCCUACACCCCUCAAUUAUUGAUGCAAGAUGGAGUACUUAUAGCAAGGAUGGCAUAUGCUUUGAAGGAAUUUGACCACAGCUUCUACAGAGAUCGUGACAUACUUUGGUCUAUGACGAAUGUCCCACUGUUGACAAGGUACACAUUUAGUCUUCAAAAUAAAGCUGAAAGAGACAUCAUCGAAGAUAUAGUUUCUGCCUUCAACACAGAAGUAGUAAGCAAGUAUGAGCAACUGCCAAAGGGUUACAUCCAUGGAGAUCCAAAUGAACAAAAUAUCCUUGUGUCAAAAAGCCAUGGAGGUGGAGACUAUGAGAUCAGUGGAAUUUUGGACUUUUCUGAUGUUGCAAACAGUUACUUAGUGCUGGAUCUGGCAAUGAAUAUUGCAUACCUUAUGAUAGACUCUGAAGUUGUUGACCAGCUAGAUACUCCAGGCUAUAUUUUAGCUGGCUAUGAGAGUAUACGACAGCUCACUCCAGUAGAAUGGGAUGUCAUCUUUGUAUGUAUAGCAGGAAGACUGGCACAGUCUCUUACUUUAGGAGCUCAUGCUAACUAUCUGGAACCAGAAAAUAUUUAUGUUUUGACCACUUCAAAGAAAGGAUGGCCUCUUUUGCAGAAGUUUUGGUCACAACCGAAGGACAGCAUAAUCUCAAGGUGGAAAAAAAUUAUUGCUUCUUGCAAAGUCAAUCAGUGACUAAAUUACUAUUUCAAAGUGUCAGGAUGCCCCAGUCAAGUAUCAAGAACAUGUUCAUAUUAAUUGAUUUGAUGUAUGAAAUUAAUAAAUUAAAUAAUAGGGUAUAAUAUAUAUAUAUGUAUAUAUAUAUAUUUACUGAGUUAUUUUAUGCCAUAUAUUUCACAUGUGUAUUGCCACUUCUAAGAGGAUGGAUUGACAGAUUUAUGUUUAUCACAUUUCUUAAUAAUUGAUUGGACACUUUUUUAUGGACAAGCAGUUUUGGCAUUGUUUAUAUCAACAAUUUGUUGAUAAUUAUUCUGUAUGUCAAAUAUGACUUGGCCUAUUUGAAACUUGCCAAUUGGAUGUUAUGUUACAUAACUAGCCUAUGCACUGAUUAUAUUAGCCAUGUAGAUUUGUUUGCUCUAUGUUCUCUAGUUAGUGAUAACACACCAGGGAAGAAAGUGCAUUUUAUUAUUGCACCCAUGUAUAUAGAUUCACUCAAAUUUGAUUAUUUUUCUUGUGAUAUAGUAAACUUGUCCUGGCUAGUACAUUGUCUAAUAACUGUCACAUGCUACAUGAAUUUGAACCCUCACUUUAUCAGUAUAACUUCCACUAAGUCUUUUCAGCUCUAAUUUGGCAUACAUUUCUAUUACAUACCAAGCCAAUACAUUGCAUAAGGGUAAACAUAUUGUGUGCACACUAAAUCUACAUCUUUGUUGUAUUAUUGGACCCAACUGUUUUGCCCAUAUAGAUCAUAGUUUCUGAGUUGUCUCUCUCAGUGUCUAUUUGAUGAACACAAGAAGUUGAAAGUAGGAGGUGGACUGCUCAAUCACAACUUAUGUCUAUUUGAUGAACACAAGAAGUUGAAAGUAGGAGGUGGACUGCUCAAUCACAACUUAUGAAAGUCAUCAACUUUACAUUUCCAUUAUGGCUUAAGAUAUUUCUUAAACUUCUUCUUAUGUAAAUACAUUUCACUUGCUUCUGUUAGACUCUGGACUAUCUGAUCACUAAUUGUGUCUUUAUCAUUAUGUGCACAUCCAACCUUGGGACAAGGAUUAGGCCAGAGAAGAUGUGAAACUGCAUAUGUAUAGUCCUGGAUAGAUCCAUCUUCUAGUGCUUUAUCCCAUAAAUAUUUUGUCGUAAUCUGUCGGAAUUUUGUCACAUGAAAUUGUCCAGGGAACCGGAUGGUGAUCAGAGACGUUGAAUGGAUUAUCAUCUCUUACACAAGCAGUAGCUACUAGUCCUUUAAGAUCUUCUGAGAUCAUUAUGUAAUCGACAGCAGAGACUGGACCUCCACUAUAAGCCUGAAAGGUAACGCCUCACAGAUUUUGCUGUGUUGUUCUUGUGUAUUCCACCCAUAUAGAACCUUGCAGUCCUCACCUUGGCAGAAGCUGCACGGAACUCUUCCUGUGUAUGUUUUACCCUCUGUGUACAUAACAGACUUCUCCACUCCAGUGUAACUGCAUCUUAAACCCAUUCAAUUGUACAAACACUGCCUCCUAUCCUGUAUAUAUACUUGUCAACCAUGCUCUGUACACCAACCCUCCUGGGUUGCACAAAUCCCUUCCUUCAUAUUUUUUUUGCCUGGCGGGCCCGUGUGCGACAAACGCUUGCAGUCGGAAAGCGCACGUAAUACCCCCAACCUCAGUCAGUCAGACUAGUACUCUAUACAUCACUUGCUUGACAGCAGUGUUUGAACCUACGACGAAACGUCGCUCCUAUUGUAAUAAAGAAGUUGUUCGUC